GUGGCUGUAGCUCAGUAGGCAGAGCACCGGGUUGUGGUCCCGGGUGUCGUGGGUUCAAAUCCCAUCAGUCACCCCA
rnacentral:tRNA from 1 species